rnacentral:misc_RNA from 1 species
AAGUCGUAACAAGGUAACCGUAGGUGAACCUGCGGUUGGAUCAUUAGUGGUUUUUACGCAGCGCUGUUGUAGUGUUUCUGUGUGGUGUUUGUGUGUGGUCUUUGGUUUUGGUGUUGGUUGUUUGUUUGUCUGUUUUUGUGCCUUGUGCGGUGCCUGGCAGUACAAACGAUCGACGGCAACACUCGGACCAGACCCAAGACCUUUACAGACAAUAGACGUCUUUGCUUGCUUUGAUGAAACCAAAUCAAAAACAACUUUUGACAACGGAUCUCUUGGCUCUC